rnacentral:rRNA from 1 species
UACGGUGGGGGCAAGCGUUGUUCGGAAUUACUGGGCGUAAAGGGCUCGUAGGCGGCCAACUAAGUCAGACGUGAAAUCCCUCGGCUUGACCGGGGAACUGCAUCUGAUACUGGAUGGCUUGAGAUUGGGAGAGGGAUGCGGAAUUCCAGGUGUAGCGGUGAAAUGCGUAGAUAUCUGGAGGAGCACCGGUGGCGAAGGCGGCAUCCUGGACCAACACUGACGCUGAGGAGCGAAAGCCAGGGGAGCAAACGGG